rnacentral:lncRNA from 1 species
AUGAAACAAAAUUUUCGUUCAUCUAAAACAACCAAAAUCCUUACAUGCAAAUGCCAUCAAAAGGACUUUUCUAAGGCUUGUAAUGAGGUUAGGCUGACAAGAAGAAUUGGUUUUUCUGGAAUGCAAAAUCCUUGAGUUAAGAGAGCUACCAUAUUAUUCAACAUUUAAGCACAACUCUCUUCCUCACCAAUCUCACUUAUUCCCAACUUUUUCCCUUUUUCUUUUUCAAUGAGCUCAUUUUCAUACUUUUUCUUCUUUUCUUUUCUUUUUCUCAUGUAUUUUUCUUUCACAACAUUUGAGCUCAAUGCUUUUUCAAUUGCCUUUUAGUUUCCCCCAUGCAACCCCAAACUUGAACCUUUUUAUCACAUACAGUUAAGCUCAUCCCAACUCAAGCUAAAGAAUUUCAAAACAAAGGUUCACAUCUUAUUUAAGGCUACGGUUCAAAAAGGGUAUAAUAUUUUCAAGCACUUUGGGUGAAAAUUUGGCUAAAGAAGAGUUUUCAAAAAUGGCCUUGAUCAUAUGACAUUCACAUUCAAUUCAAUCAAUCAUCAUGAUUAAGGCAAUAUCAUUCAUGCUUUCCUCUGAACAAUACAUACCACAAUGAAAACUCUGGAGC